ensembl:lncRNA
AUUUUUUUGGAGACCUUCCGUGCCACGGCGGAGGCUUGCCAAUGGCCGCGGGAGGAGUGGGCUCCGCGGCUGCUCCCCCUGCUGUCUGGGGAGGCACAAACAGCGGCCCUGAGUCUGCCUCCGGCGUCGAGGAGCAGCUUCCCGGACGUGAGCCGGGCGGUGGUGGACAGGCUGGGGCUCACCGCCGAAGACCAUCGCCGGCGGUUCCGGGCCUGUCGGCUGGCUACAACGGACCGACCAUUCGCCUGGGCCCGGCAGCUGCGCGACGCGGCGGUGCGCUGGCUGCAACCGGGGGCAUCGGAGGGCGAGACGAAGCUGGUGGACAAGGUGGUGCUGGAGCAGUUCACGGAGGGGUUGCCAGCGGAGACGGCGAGAUGGGUCCGGUGCCACCGGCCCGCCAGCUUGGAGGUAGCAGUGACGCUGGCGGAGGACCACCUUGCCGCUGGAGCAGGGGAACCCGGGGACGCCGGACGGAGGCCGAACAAACAGGCCCCAGUGCCGGCCCCGAGGCGCCGUGUGCCGGCACCAGGGCAGGCCGAGCGGCUGCCGGCGCUGAGCCCCACUAACCCUUUCGCGGCGUUGAUGCCGUCCAGGGGAGCCGAGCCAAGUGGAGCCGCCCCCGAGCCACGGAGAGCAGCACAGACGCCGGGGCCGGAGUGUUGGAAGUGCGGGCAGCCGGGGCACCUGAGGAGGGAUUGUCCGCUUAUGGAAGUGGGGCAGGUGUUCCGCGUUGCUGGCGCCCCAGCACCCUCCCCCGGUCCAGGAGGGACAUACAGUAUUCCGACUGACGCCUCGGGCAGAGGGCUGGGAGCCGUUUUGUCCCAGCAGGUGAGGGGGGCUGACCGCCCUGUCCUGUACAUCAGCCGGAAGCUAGCGGAGCGCGAGCGCCGGUACAGCACCGUGGAGAAGGAGUGCCUGGCCAUCCGGUGGGCGGUCGGCUCCCUGCGCUAUUACCUCCUGGGACGCUCAUUCACCCUCUGUUCGGACCACGCCCCGCUGCAGUGGCUCCACCGCAUGAAGGAUGCCAACGCCCGGAUCACCCGGUGGUAUCUGGCGUUGCAGCCCUUUAAGUUCAAGGUGAUCCAUAGGCCGGGGGCGCAGAUGGCGGUGGCCGAUUUUCUCUCUCGCUCGCGGGGGGGAGUUGGCUCGGCCGGACGGCUCCCCGGCCUCGAACGGGCGGUGGGGGUGUGUGGCGGAGGCGUGGCCCCGGGCGCAGCUGCAGGGGAGGAGUGCAGCAGAAGGCUCAACAGGGCGGCGCUGCGAGGCCGGUAAGAACAGCUGAUGGUGUUUAUGUACUGAUGAUGGUUUCCCUCCGCUGUUUUUAUAGUGAGACGGGGAGGGGCGGCCAGAAGAGAGAUCAGCUGGGCUCGUGAGCUGUCAGACUGUACGACUGAGUCAGCUGUCAAAACUCAAAACUCAAAGCUUCAAUAAAUGUGGAAGUUGGCAGUACAUACCUGUGUGUGCGUGUGUCUGUGCCUG